UACGUAGGGUGCAAGCGUUGUCCGGAAUUAUUGGGCGUAAAGAGCUCGUAGGCGGUUUGUCGCGUCUGCUGUGAAAACUCAGGGCUUAACCCUGAGCCUGCAGGGGGUACGGGCAGACUAGAGUGUGGUAGGGGAGAUCGGAAUUCCUGGUGUAGCGGUGGAAUGCGCAGAUAUCAGGAGGAACACCGGUGGCGAAGGCGGAUCUCUGGGCCAUAACUGACGCUGAGGAGCGAAAGCAUGGGGAGCGAACAGG
rnacentral:rRNA from 1 species